rnacentral:misc_RNA from 1 species
UAAUUUCCGUGGUCAGUAUUCGAGAGCGAUCGCUCCCGCUUCCCGACCAAGCCUGCAUAAGUGAUAUGUCACAUACUAUUAUCCGCCUUCAAAUCCACCUUCCUGAUAAUCAGAGAGUAUAUUUUAACGAAGGAGAAGAACAAGUAGCUAUAGAUCGUGCAGCACAGCGUGACACUCACCUAACUGCUUGGUUUAAGUUAAAUGCUGAAAAUAAUGAAGCACGUCAGUAUUCUUAUGUUGAAAUUCCAUAUCACUUUGUUUUUGGUAAAAAUUGCAUGUGGAAAGUAUGACAAAGAGGUAGUGAUAAGAUGGUUGUUCGAAUGUAUAAAGUCAGUUCAUUUUGCGAAUUAUUUUUUCUCAGAUUGUUACUUUUGCAUGUAAAAGGUGCAAAGUCUUUUGAGGAUUUGCGUACUGUUCAUGGUACUGUUUUUAAUACAUUUCGUGAAGCAUGUUAUCAUUUAGGUUUAUUGCAAGAUGACAUUGAGUGGAGAAAUACAUUAACUGAAGCUGCUGCAACUCGGAUGCCAAAAAAAAUUAGGCUACUGUUUUCCAUCAUAUUAACUUUAUGUGAACCUGAUGAUCCUUUACACCUUUGGAAUACAUUUAAAAAUUAUAUGGUUGAGGAUUACAUACACCAUUCAAUGCCAGUCGUACUUGCUGAGCAGGCAGCUCUUCGUCAAAUUGAAUCUAUAAUUAAUCAGAGUGGUAAAACCUUAGCUGAUUAUAACUUGCCAGCUUUAGAUCAGUUUUUAGAUAAUGUCCCAGAAAAUGAUGAUGAAGAUGUUCAGGUGUUUAUUGAUGAAGCAAACCGAGUUAGACCAUUAUUGAAUGAUAAUCAACGUAAUGUAGCUGAUGCGAUCCUUGCUGCACUAAGUGUGGAACCUACUAAUGAAAAUAAGCAUUCAAGGUUGUUUUUUAUGGAUGGGCCUGCCGGUUGUGGUAAAACAUUUACUUACAAUUAUUUAAUUUCUGAAACACAGAGCAGGCAUAUUAGAACUGCAACAGCUGCAUGGACAGGAAUAGCUGCAACUCUUCUCAAAAAUGGGUGCACAAUGCAUGGCUUAUUCAAACUUCCUGUUCCAAUUUUGGAAACUAGCACAUGUAAUGUAACUCCAAACUCUUUUCAUGGUAGAUUCCUGAGACAAAUCAGUUUGUAUUUACUUGAUGAAGCAUCUAUGAUACCCAAAUAUGCUUUGAGUGCCAUUGAUAAGCUAUUACAAGAUAUUUGUAAUAACAACUUUCCUUUUGGUGGUAAGGUUAUUCUUAUGGGUGGAGACUUCAGACAAAUACUUCCAGUUGUGAAGCGAGGUCGACCAGCAGAAGUUAUAGAAUCAUGUUUAAAAUGUUCUGAACAUUGGCAAUAUGUGCAAAGGUUCUCAUUAACUGUAAAUAUGAGGGUUCAGAUAGAAGAAGAGGAAUUUUCUCAAUGGCUUUUAAAGCUUGGAAGUGGAACAUUACCUGUCAAGCCUGAAGAUCCUUUGCGAGGGUGUAUUGAAACACCUGAGCAGUGCUUUCUCAGUGAUAAUGAAUCUAUUGUGGAGAAGAUUUUCGGUGGUGCAGAAGAAGCUGAUUAUGCAAAACGUGCUAUUUUAAUGCCAACAAAUGUUGAUUCAUUGGCAAUAUAUGAAGAAGUCCUUCAUCGUUUACCCGGUGAUGUGAAAACAUAUUUAAGUUCAGAUAGCAUUGAUACUGAUGAUCUUAAUGAAAUUAAUAACUUUCCAGUCGAGUUUUUAAAUAGUUUGACUCCAUCAUGUAUGCCUGUUCAUUGCCUAAAAUUAAAAAUUGGUGCUGUUAUAAUGCUACUUAGAAAUUUAGAUCUCAAAGGUGGACUUUGUAAUGGAACCCGUUUGAUGGUGCGUGCAUUACACAACAAUUAUAUUGAUGGUGAGGUUUUAACAGGUGUAUCAGCUGGUAACAGGGUAUUUGUUCCUCGAGUUCAAUUAGCUCCAUCAGAUGCAAAUUUACCUUUUACACCUAAACGCCGUCAGUUUCCAGUUUGGUUAGCAUACUCAAUGACCAUAAAUAAAAGUCAAGGUCAAACAAUUGAAAAAGUUGGUGUUAUCUUAAAAAGCCUUGCUUUUCACACGGCCAAUUAUAUGUUGCAUGUUCAAGAACAAGAUCAUUUAAUAGUUUGUUUUUCAAAGUUGAUAAACAUCCAUUACAAGCAAUGCUGAUAAAACUGAAUUUUUUUAAAAAAAGAGUAUUUCCAGCCUUCCAACCAAAUAUUAGAGACUUUUACAAAAGCACUCUCACAAAAUAAUGCUUUUAUAAUCAAUUUAAAAGUCUUUCAAAUCGUUAAUCAUUUUUCUAAAGGCGAAGAAGAAGAAUCAUUAUUCUUCAUACCAUUUAAUAAAGCUAUUUUAAUAAAACGCAAUACAAAUUGUUGUAAAU